rnacentral:rRNA from 1 species
UACGUAGGUGGCGAGCGUUAUCCGGAAUUACUGGGCGUAAAGCGCAAGCAGGCGGCGCGUUAAGUUCGACGUAAAAUCUCCUGGCUUAACUGGGAGGGGUCGUUGGAGACUGGCGUGCUUGAGGCGAUGAGAGGGACAUGGAAUUCCCGGUGUAGUGGUGGAAUGCGUAGAGAUCGGGAGGAACACCAGAGGCGAAAGCGGUGUCCUGGCAUUGGCCUGACGCUGAGAUGCGAAAGCGUGGGGAGCGAACGGGAUUAGAUACCCCGGUAGUCCACGCCGUAAACGAUGAGAACUGGGUGUCGGUGGGGUUAGAGCCAUCGGUGCCGAAGCCAACGCGUUAAGUUCUCCGCCUGGGGAGUACGGCCGCAAGGCUAAA